UCGUUAAUCCCUAAAUCCCCCAAAUAACUCUCAAAAUUUGCCCCCAAAUUUCUCAUUUCCAGCAACACCAAGUCAAUACACCUACACUAAUUGUCGAUGGUUUUUUUAUUAAUACAGUUGUUCUUCAAUUUCUUUUUCUUUUUCUUUUGGUUUGCAGUUGAAUCGUUCAAGUGCCGUAUCUGCAAAUACACCCUCCAAAAUUUGUCAUACUUUUCCUGGAAAAGCUCCUGAAAUCAGUCCACAAUCUUCCCAGUUUCACUUUAGGAACUUUAAAAAUCUCCACAAAAGAAAAAAGAAAAGAAAAAAGGAAGAAGACGAAGAAGAAGAAUCAGCUUUGCUUCCUUUUUGCUGGGUGUCUAUUUACAUGGCAGCUCACAUUGCCACAGCAAUGAAGCCCAAGAACAAUAACAGCAACAGUAACAACAACAGCAACUGUUGCAGCAAUGGCUACAGCAGCGAUGUCAGUAACGGGAGCGACAACAACUCUCCAAGCCCACCUCCAUCGCCACCGAAGCCUCGUCUUACUCUGUCCCUGUCGCAGUGCCGCCGUCGGCUGCGUUCCAAGACCAAGUCCUUCGUCCGCCGUGAAAACCUUGGUUCCGGCCUGAACUUCCGGCGUAAUCUCCGUUACUUGUUGCUGCUGCCACUUUCGUACAUUUCCGGCUUGUUAAUGUGUGUCGGUCCGUUUUCAUGAAUUUUGAGAAUUGGGUUGGUUUUUAUGAAUUGAGGUGGUGAUCUGCCAAGCUUAUUUUUUCUUGUAAAUUGCCACUUGAAGCUGAUUGGGUUUGAGUUGGGAAGGUUAUUUUGUUCUCAUGACUUUGUUGGAUGUAUUUUCUGUUUUUUGGUUACCCUUUUUUAUGAUCUUAAUUUCAUGUUAUAAGGUUUAUAUUUAUGCCCUACAAAUGGAGAAAACCAUUGAUUGUCGCUUAUGUUGCAUGUUGGAAUAUGCUAAUUCAUAGAUAGUACUGGUAUUUGUUUUGAGUUCUUUUAGACUGAUAUACACUAUUGGACUCUCAGAGCAAAAUCCAAAUGGGUAAUCUUUUCUGUUGUGUACAAGUUGACCAGUCUACAGUAGCCAUUAAGGAGGGAUUUGGUAGGUUUGAGGAUGUUCUUGAACCUGGAUGCCAUUGCCUACCUUGGUUUCUUGGAAGUCAACUCGCUGGCCACCUGUCGCUAAGAUUGCAGCAGUUGGAUGUUCGUUGUGAAACCAACACUAAGGUCUGUAUAUGUUGUAAAUUUUCAGUUAUUGACUUAUUUGCUUUAUAACUUUUAGACGUUUUAGGAUGAUGAAUAUAAAUGGCCUUUCAGUUUUUGUGUACUUCUAUUAGUUUCUCCAACUUUAGCAUAAAUAGUCAUGCUUUUGUCAGUUACUCUAUUUCUGGUGGAAUUUAAGUGGAGGAGGAUAUGUUGUUUGAGGUGAAGGGAAAAUUCGUGAUUAUGAAGAAAUAAAAUGGUCGAAUACUUCCAUAAAUAUUCUUGUUAUAACCUUUCCCUUCUUCUGAUCUUUAAUACAUUUAGUUAUUAGAGCAAGUGUUCCGAAGCUAAAUCUGGAUGAUGUUUUUGAACAAAAGACUGAAAUUGCUAAAGCUGUUGAAGAAGAACUUGAGAAGGUAAUCAAUUUGAUUAAGUACAUCACAUUCUGUGAAAGCCAACCCCACAUGUUGUUUUACCCCACAUGUUGGUCUAAGGCCUUGUUAUGUUAAAUUGUUGCAAUUUUGAAGCUGACAUUUAAAUAUGUUUUGAAUUCUGUUACCCCCUUGUUUUUCUUCCAGGCUAUGUCUGCCUAUGGGUAUGAGAUUGUUCAAACACUUAUUGUGGACAUAGAACCUGACGAGCAUGUGAAACGUGCAAUGAAUGAAAUUAAUGCUGGUAAAAAUAAUCUUAAAUUUUAUGUUAAUGGAGUGUUUUUAUUUUUAUUUCGCUUGUGAAGUGAAACUAGAUUUUCUUUUACAAUUUUGGCUUUUAGUUAGAAUGGGUUUUUCUUUAAUCAUAAUUCUUAAAAAGUUGUCAUAAAAUAAAUUUGUUUCUUGGACAAGGCAGAAAGGGGUAGUAAUAAGGAAACUGAUCAUGAAAUUAGAAAGCAAAGAAGCUUGACGGGGAUAAUGAAUGUUGGUGUUUUGAACAUUCUACAUGGAAAAUGAUGUUGAUAAGAAAUUUUGCCUUUAUGUAUGUUUAUUGCUAAUGCCUUUAUUUUUUCUCCACUUCAAUUAUAUUUGGCUAGUGUCGGUUACAACUCACAACAGAGAUAGCAAAAACUUGUUUUUGAAAAGGACCACUCUAGGUUUUUCAGAAUCAUAAUAUGGUGACGUAGAUAGAGCUAAUUUGACACACUUUGUUUAUUGUAUCAAUGAUCUACAUAAAAAGCCCUCCUACAAGAGGGACAUUGGAUUAGGAAAUAAAUUUCUCCUUCAGGUUUCAGUCCCUUUAAUAGGAUCUAAAUAUGAGAUGUUUCUUUCUUCAAUAAGCUCAAAAUGCUGCUUCUUGCUGCAGUUGUCCUCUGUGUGGAAAUACAAAAGAAGGGUGAAAGUAUAGAAACCUUGUCCAAAUUUGACGGCUAGAAAUCAUUUCUCCAUGUACAGAACGAGCAUAAUGGGUAAUUCUUACCGAGAUUGGUUCUCUCUUAAAGUUCCACAAUACUUAUAUUGGAGUUUAGGAACAGCUAUUGUAUGAUUAUUCCUACAUGUUAGGGAUAACAAAUGAAGGGUAGGGUUGAACAUAAAAUUUAUUUCUUGAGAGGGAGGAAAUGAGCUCCGGUUUAUUUGAUAGUUUUUUUUUUGACAUACAGAGUCUCCUGGUUCUAGCGGUUACUUGAUUGUUGAUGCCAAUGGUGGUCUAAACCAGCAACGAUCUGCGGUAUGCUAUUAUCGUAUUUUACUAUAGUACUACAUUUUGGUUUUCUGCAGUUCUUUUACAGCAAAGGUCUGAAUACUUUUCCUAAAGUAAAACAGCAUUGCAUUCUCUUUUGGUAUGGUCUCUGUAUAAAUGUCUGAACUAUUUUUCAAUUUUUUGCAGCUAUUUCGUGCUAAUGAUGUACGUAUGCAUUUCCUUUUGUAGUAUUGGAUAUGCAGCUACCAAAUUUUAUUCACCAAAGUCUGCAAGUAUGGUUUGCUUUCAUGAUCUCUUUCAUUUUUUUUCUCUUUCUCUAAUAAUUCUCCUUAGCUUGUAUUCUUCUCUGGUAAUAAAACGAUGAACCCUUUGGUACAACAAAUGCGGACCGCUAUUGGCAAUGGAUAGGCAAUCAACUUUAAUCUUACCUCCUGUACAUCGUCCUUAUCGAACUCUUUCUGUUUCAAAACAAUCAUUGACUCAAUCUAUUUCCUCAACAUUAGUACUUUUGUUUUAAUCACAUGUAUUAAUCUAUUACAAUUUAUUCUUAUUUUGUUUUAUUUAUAUACAUGGUUUCCACAGGAAUGAAAUUUGAUAACAUUAAUUCAUGAAAUAUGAUAAACCCUGUUUUUAUAUAUUCUGAAAGCUCAGAAGAAGGCACUACUGGAUCAUGUAAAGUUUUAUUUUGGCUGCUAACAACGAAAAGGUCUUCUAAUUCUCUCAUCAAAUAGAAUUAAAAAGAUGAAGUGAAGCUCUCUAUCAAAUAACUUGUUCACUUAAAUUCUUUUUACUUGCCAUUAUAGAUUUUGAACUACUUUAAUCUCUGAACUGUUAAAAAACUUAGCUUGUUUUCUUGCUUGUGUCUGCCAUUCCAAUCUUAUCAGGAUGAUACAAUAUGUGCCUUCCUAUGUGAUAAUAAAUUUGAAACCAAAUUCCACAGUUUCACUUUCUUUCAUGUUUGAUGUGCUAGUAUCUUUAGGUUAUCUUUGAAUGAGAGAAAUGAAAUGAUUUGUUUGGUUGGCUUUAUAUAUAUCUAUAUUUAAUGGUAAUUGGAGAUAUGUUUUGAGUGAUUAGGAAUAUUAGUCCUUCUGGUGCAUACAGGGUUUCUAUUAGUAGUAGUAGUUUUAAGUUGGUUAAGUAUUUGUGAGGCAAUAGUAUGCCCUGAGAUCUUAUAGAUGAUGAUUGAACCUUCAUAGAAAAGGCAAAGAUUGAAGCUCAAAUCUUAGCUGCUGAAGCAUUAGCAAAAAUGAAGGCAGAGGUUGAGCUGAAAAAGCAACGGGAAAGAGAAGAGAAGCUGCUGGAAUUACAUUACAAAAGGUUUUUAUCUUUUUCUUGCGUUUUCUUUUUUGUCCUUAUUAUGUUUAUAUAGUGGAGGGUUUUAGAGGCUAGAACACUGUAAUACCAUAUAGUAUAUACAAAAUAUGAAACAGACCAUGCCAUUAUUUAUUGAACAGGUAAAAAACCAAUUAUUUUUUUUCCCUUUUUCUUAAAUUAAAGACCAUGCCAUUAAGGUAAAUGCAUAUUAUUGUUAACUAUUAAUUAUAUUAACUAUUUAUUUUACAUUAAAUUAAUGUUUAAACAUAAAAAAUAAAAUAAGAAACAAUCAAAGCAACUGGUUUAACCUGUGGUCCAGUUUCUUUAACAUUGGCAUUUAUGUCAUUUAAUGUCGAACUUCUACAUUUAUGUCUUUCAUUUUGAAUUUUUAGAUGAUAGUAGUGUCAAUCAAUUCUUUGUCCCUUGUUAUGCUAUUAGUUCCUUUGUUUUGUUUUUUCUUUUUUUCUUUUUUUGCCAAAGCCACUUGUCCCAGGUGUCAUUUUUUUUAUGCAUUUCCUUGGCUAUGGGGUUUUGCUUGGUAGUUAUGCAGCUAUUUAUUGAAAGUUGAAACUCAUGCCUGUUUUAUGAAUGCUUACAUGCAUGGCAAGCUGUUGUUAGCCUUUCUUUCUAUUAUGUUUGUUGCUUUGUAUUAGCAUUCUCUAUGCUACUUGCCCUGCAAAGUUCCAAGUUUCCAUUUUUAUUAAAGAUGGCAAUCGGGUAUUUGGAAAUGUUAAUUAUCUGAUCUUUGGCAAUUUUGCCCAGCAGAAUUAAGCUAAUUUUAUGGUUCUAUCUUUAAUUAAUGCAUGACUGAGCAAUGCUUCCUUUACAGGUCAGUUUCCUGUUUCUUUGUCAUGGAUGGAUGUAUUUAUUGGAAAAUGGGACAAAGUAACUUAAUACAAAGAAAUUUUACAUUUGAUUUUCUAUGCCUUUUAGAUCACCUCUAAUUUUAAGAUUGAUUGCAAAUGCCUUUUUUCAUUUUUUACAACUUUUUCUGACCAACAAUUUAUUUGUUACAUAUAUGUUUUAUUUUAUUUUAAUCGUUAAUUGUAUGUCACUAAUGCUUAAUUGUUAUAAUUUUUUACAUAAAUGUUUUUUUUUUUACUCGAGGCUAAGAAGUUAGCAUCACAAUAUCAAAAGGAAGCGGACAAAUGCAAUUCGGGUAUGGAGACGUGUGAAGAAGUAAGGGAGAAAGCUGAAGAAGCACUAUCGGCUCAAAUGAAAUUAACAGCAAUGUGGGAAAUAAGAGCUCGUCAGAAAGGGUGGAGAGAAAAGGUCGCCAAAUCUAAUGCAUUUCCUUAUUUCAUUUAAGUAACUUCAUUAUAUUUAAUCUAGUUUUUAUUAUUUAUUUUAGUUUUGAUUCUAAAUUUUUAUUUUUAUUUUAAUAUUUAAGAUAACUUGAGUUCUAACUUUUAGAUUUUAAAUGUGUUAUUAAUUUAUUAUUUUAAAUUCUAAAUUUAAAUUCAUUUAUUUUUGUAUUUAGUUUUAAAGUUAAAAUUUUAAUAGAAAAUUUUUAUAUUUAUAUCAUUCAAUAUUUUGAUAAUGAAUUUUAAAUUUUUUAUAUUUUUCAUGACUUUUAUAAAUUUUUUUUUUUGAAUUUCAUGACCUUUAGCGGCGUUUGUGGGAAAAGCGCCGUUAAAGGGUCGUGACCUUUCAAAAGCGUCGCUAAAGGCCUAAAAAAACGCCGCUAAAAGUCAGUUUUGCUGUAGUGGCUAAAUCCCCUGCAAUAUAAACUCAUAGAGUAUUGUCGGGAUUACCAGUCCAGGCUAAAUCCCCUGCAACGACAAUUACUUUAAUGAGCUUGGAUUUGAAUUACCAGUCUAGGCUAAAUUCAGACCCUAAUUCGGAUUACCCGUCCGGGCUAAAUUCAUUUUACACAUAUUCUUCGGGAGGGCUAUAUCAGGAUAGGAUCGCCUGUCCGGGCUAGAUCCUUUUUACCGUCAAUUCCUUUUCAGAGAUUCAUCGAAUUUUCCUUUCAUUCAACCGGGAUUUCUUCCCAUUUUAUCAAAUAUAUCAAUGUUUCAUUAAUUUUCAUACAAUGAACAUUCAAAUCAUAUUCACAUCAAUAACAUACAAUCUCAAAAAUUUAAGAAUAUAAUUCAAGUUACAUGAACUUACCUUGAUACUUGUUUGUAAACAAUAAAAAUCUACUAAUCCCGAACUUUUUCCUUUCCUCGAUCUAGCUUCGUAUUUGAAUCUUCCGGAUCUAAAUAAAUAAAUUUAAUUAUCAAUUUAAUACAUUUCAUGUUCAUACGCAACAUUCUCUAUAAUUCAACUAUUAUUUAUAGUUCAUUCAAAGCUCUCUACUUGAGUCAUAGUCACUAAAUUAUUUUUAUCUUGAGCUAAAGAACUCCAAAUUAGGAUCCAAUAAUUUUCUCUAAAACUAGACUCACAUAUCUUCUUACCAUAAAAUUUUCAGAAUUUUUGGUUUAGCCAAUAAGUACAGUUUAUUCUUUAAAGUCACCCUUGUUCUUCUGUUCAACAGUUCUGACCCUUAUUCACUAAAAAUUAAUGAUCUCUUCAUACAGAAUUUGGAUGAUGUUUCCAUUUAUUUCUCUUGAAAAUAGACUCAUUUAGGAUUCUAUACAUAUAAAUUUAAGCCCCUAAUUAUUUUUAUUCAAUUUUUUAUAAUUUUUCAAAGUCAAAACAGGGGAAUCCGAAUUCAUUCUGACAUUGUCUCACAAAAUUUAUUAUAUCUCAAAAUUUAUAAAUCCAUUGCUUACACCGUUUAUUCUAUGAGAAACUAGACUCAAUAAGCUUUAAUUCCAUAUUUUUUUUCAUCUUCUAAUUCGAUUUCUACAAUUGAUGGUGAUUUUUCAAAGUUAGUCUACUGCUGCUGUCCAAACUGUUUUUGUGCAAGCUGUUUAUUACCAUUUUUCCCCUAAGCUUUUAAUAAAUGAUAAUUUCGUCUCUACUCAAUUAGCCUCUCAAUUGAGCUGAUUUUUCUCAAUUAACAUUUUAUUCUAUCACCUUAAACUAGUUUACAACCUUUAGGAAUCAGAAUUUCAGCAAUAGACUUUAAUUCCAAGCAUUUUUACAAUUAGGUCCUAAAAAUCAAUUUCUAUUGAAAUUACCUAAUAAAAUCAUCUCAUAAACAAAUUAAAGCUUUAAUUUCAUUCUAUUUCAUCAUAAUCUUACAGCACUCAACCAUGGUGACCUUAAAUUUCAUCCAUGAAAUCAAAAACUAAUGAAUUUAAUAGUAGGACCCAGUUGCAAAAGUCUUAGAAACACAAAAAUUACAAGAAAAAUGCAAGGAUUAACUCACUUGGUGCAAAAAUUAUGAAAUACCAGCUUAGAGAACCCUCCUAUGGCGUUUUUAGCUGCUGGAAUUGAAGAGAAAUGAAGAGAAAUCUAGAUAUUUCCUAUUUAGUCCUAGCUUUAUUUAGUUAAUUUUGCAAUAUUCUAAUUUUACCCUUAAUUUAUCAAUUUUUCUGCUGAUUUCAUACCCUUGCAGUCCAGCCCAAAUAACUUUUGGGUCUAAUUGCCUUUUAAAUCCUUUCUCAUUAGACUCUUGAGCUAUUUAAUCAUUCUAGCAACUUUUACACCUAUUACAAUUUAGUCAUUUUCAUUUAAUUGACUACCCAAACAUUAAAAUUUCCUAACGAAAUUUUAAUACCACAUUAAUAACAUUUCAUAAAUAUUUAUAAAAUUAUUUUUGACUCGGUUUUUCGAGAUAGAGGUCUCGAUACCUUGUUUUUACCCAAUUUCUUCAAUAAUUUCUUUUUCUAUCUAAUCACUAAAUUGGUAAAAUUUUUCUAUCAAUAUUUUCAUACGAUUUUCCUAUCAUAUCAAUUUUCAAGCAAAAAUAUUGAAAUAAAUUUCUCUUUAAAUUGGAUCUAUGAUUACGAAACCAUUGUUCCGAUAACCUUGAAUUUAGGCCAUUACAACGGGAGUCGCCACCGAUCUUGAUUUGGUGUGAUCGGAUCACCUUUGUUUUAAUAAAACAAUUUUAGUUUACUAAAACGGCAUUUUGGUCUACGAAAUCCAAGAGAAUAUGUUCGGGAGUCGGUUACGUGCGAGGAAGGAUUAGCACCCUCGACACGCCCAAAAAUUGGUACCGAAUUGAUUAGUUAAUGUCUUAAUGUCUAAAGUUGAAAAUCGGGAAUGGAUUUUAAAAUACGAUCCUUUUUUAUUGACGUCGAUUUUAAAAACGCUUGAGUUAGCUCAAAAUGAUUAUUAAAGAUUUCCUCGUCUCAAGAUAUCGGAGUUUCACAUCCCGUAAGUUAGGACGCAAUACCAUGAACUCCCGAGCGCAAGUGUAUCUUCAUUUAAAUUGGGAUUCCGUGCAUUUUGAACCCAAAAGGAUACUUAGCUAUUUAGAAUCAACGAGAGAGUCGAAACCCCGUAAGUUAGGGCACAAUUCUUCGAUGUUUCAAAACGCGAAACAUUGCCUUGUUUCGAAAUUUUGUUUUUGAAAUAAUAGCGAAUACGAUAUUUAAACAACAUGUGUUAUUUAUUUAGGUUAAAAUAAAGUGAUUUAUUGGAUAAACGUAUUGGGGUUUAACUUGAGGCAAUGGCAUGGAAUGAAGUAUAGUGCGACAUGGAACAAUUAUUCAUGCAUAAAAUAUUCCACAAGCGUAUGGCAAUAAUAUGAAUACGAGUAAGCAAAUUUACAUGCAUGCAAUAGCAAUAAUUUCACAACAUACGUUAUUUAACAUUAAGCUUAAUAAACAUAGAAACGAAGUAAUAGUAUGAAACAACUUAAAUCAAAUAAUAAGAUAAUCUUAAAUAUAAAAUAUAUAUGUAAAAGGUUUAAGAUAAGUACUAUAAAAGCAACUUAAAGUAAAUGAUAAAAAUAAUUUAAAACCAUUAAUGCAAAGUCUAAAAUAAGUAAUACGUAAAAAAUAAAUAAAAAAUAAUAAUAUACAUGGUAUAUAAAAAAGACAACUUAACAUAAAUAUAUGUAUAUAAAGAAUAAAUAAUGUAUAAAGAGUUUAAGAUAAAAACAUAGGGAAAUUCAAAAAUAAGUGCUCCAUACAAAAAGAAGUUUAAGAACAAAUAUUCUAUAAACUUAAAACAAUAAGCUAUUCAAAAAUAAUAUAUAAAAAGGUUUUAAAAUAAAUAAAUAAAAAGCAAAUGUAAAGUGAUUAACAUAUAUAUAAUAAUUCAAAACGACUUAUGUAAAAAAAGGGUUUAAAAUAAAUGAUAUGUAAGGUAAUUUAAGAUAAAUAAUGAAAAUAAGUUUAAAAUGAAUAUUAUGUAGUGAGAAAUUUAAAAUAAGUAACAUACAUAACAUUUUAAAAAUAAAUGGUAUAUAAAAAAUAGAUAAUACAUAUAAAAAUUUGAAAUUGAUAAUAUAUAUGAAAAAAAUUAAAGUAAACAAUAAAACAAUUUAAAAUGAAUAAUACAUAAAACAAGUUUAAAAUAAAUAAUGUAUAAAGCAUUUUAAAAUUUAUAAUACACAAAGCAAAUUAAAGAAUGACAUAUAUGAAUAAUUUUAAAAUAAAUAAUAUAUAAAUUAAUUUAAAAAUAAUUAAUAAGAAGUUUAAAAUAUAUGAUACGCAAAAGAAUUAAAAAUAGACAAUAUAAUUAUAUUUUAUAAUAGUAACAGUUCAAGGGUAAUAUAAAGAGAGUCAUUUGAAAUAUAUAAUAUACAAUAACUUAAAAUAUAAAAUAAUUUGAAAUAUAUAUAUAACAAAACAAUUUUUAAAGAAUUAUAAAGAUAUAAAAAGCUUGAAAUAAAUUAUAUGUAUACAUAUAUACAAUGGGUAAGGAAUAAAGAAAUAAAUAAUACAUAUAAAAUAGAUUAAAGUGGCAUAUAUACAUAAAGUAAGUUAAAAUAAAUAAUAAGAAUUUGAAUAAAUAGUACAUUAAAAUAAGUUAGAAUAGAUAUAAAUAAACAACAUAUAAAAUAUUUGAAAUAACAUAUAAAUGAAACAAAAAAAAGAGAGUUAAUAAAUGAAUUAAAUAGAUUUAGGACAUGGCUAAAAACAAAUUAAAAUUCGGGUAUAAAAGUAUAAAUAUUGGAUAGUUAAUUAGGGAUCAAAACGAAUACCAAACAAGAUCUGAGGGCCAAAUUUAAAAAAACAAAAGAAGAUAGAAAAUGGGGGUUAAUUGAACGAGGUUGCGAGAGAGGAGAACUAAACGCAGAAAUUUCCCUUUUAGGGAAAGUGCACAGACCCCACCCCCUAAACGACGUCAUUUCAAGGGUGAAAUAAAACCCAAAUUUCAUUCACUCUUUUUGAUCUGCCGUUCUCUUUUGUUUUCCAAGGAAAAAACAAAACACCCUCUCCCCCUUUUGUCUUUCCAACGAUCGGGCUCCUUCACCGCCCACCGUACCACCACCGUUUUCAGUGGCCGGUGACGCGCAACAAUAGGUAUUUCAACCCCAUUUUUGGGACCCUUUGAAGGCCGAGUUUUCAGCCAAACAAUGGGGAAAUGAAAGGGUCUCUCCCUCUCUAAACGACGCGACCCCGACGACGGAGGAGGGAUCUCCGGCGACGAAGCCCCGAGCGAUUCCGGUGAGGCCCUCUACUCCCUCCUUUUAUUUAUUUUUGUGCCCACUUUAUUUAAUAGAUUUGCAAGUAAAGAUAAAAAGAAACUAAAAGAGAUUAGCAAUGAAAUGAAAACAAAGAGAAUAAAUUGGAAAUCACCCUUUUUUUUUAUCUGUUCUGCUCUUGAUUUUUAUUGUUAAAUGUUCGUGUCCCCCCCCAAAAAACUACAAAUGGAUGUUUCGACUUUUAUAACCGAAUUACAUAGAUUCGUUUUUUGUUUUUUUCCUUCUUGUCUGCUAUUUUUUCUUCUUCGUUUCUUGUGUUUCGCGUGCUAGUUUCGUCUUGCAGGUGUCAGACGCGUGGAAGGCCGGUGGUUGGUGCCCUGGUGGUGGCGCGCGUGAUGGCCAAGGGCAGAGGGGGGAGUGGCGGCUGAACUUUGGUGGCUAGGGUUAGGGUGGCUGCUGAAAAAAAGUUUAAGAUAGUGGGCUGACUUAGGCUUUAGGGUUUUAGGUUAUUAGGUUUAUUUUGGGCUAAAAUCUGGGUAUUAGGUUUUAAUUAGGUUUUAUUUUAAUUUUGGGCCAUGUAUUGGACUAUUUUUUUGUUUAUUUGGUUUGGGUUCUUUUAGGCCGAAAUUGGCUAUUACAGAGUAUAUCAAAAUAAAUAUAAAAAAUGAGUAAUUAUUUUUAACGCAUAAAUUGUAGACAAAUCAAUAUAUUUUAAUUACUUUUUACAAAUAUAAUUAUAAGUCAAAGUUAAACAUAAAUAAUACAUAUUUUAGAAAAAUAUAAUUAAAAUGAAACCAAUGCUAAUUACAACAUUCUUUUUGUUAUUUUAACUUUUCUUUUAAAAGAUUGCUAUUUUAACCUAAUCCACUGUCCUAGCUAAUCAGCCUAUUAGGUAAAGCCUUUGCUGGUAUUGAUGGGUAUAAAAGGCUGCAAUAAAGCCACAAUAUUGGAAGGUUUGGGCUUCUCAAUUAUUUGAAUUGGAUUUAAUAUUUUUAAUUUCAUAUAUUUAUAUAUUUAAAUUUUUAUUUUAUUUAUAGUGUAAAUUAUUUUUUAUAUUUCAAUUUUAUAUUGGGAAAUUUUAUGUUUUAUUAUUUAUUUUAGUUAUUUUUAAUGCAUAUCUAUAUUUUAAAUAGGCGUAUGCAAAAUAAAAUUUUUUAAUAUUGAAGUAUUUUGUUGAGUUUGGUGUUACCCGAUAAGCAGAUCAAACUAAUUUAUGAAUUUAUCAAAAAUAUUUUAUUAUUUCAACUUUUUUUAUAAAAUUAUUUAAAUUUAUUUUGACCAUAUUGCGAGUUCUUUAUAAUCUAAUAAUAAUAUAAUAAUAAAAUAAAUGAAUAAAUAAAUAAAUGUGAUAAACCCCCGCCGUAAACCUCAACUUUUCGUUGUUUAAAAGACGGAGUUGUGAAAAGCCCCUCACUCACUUAGAUCUCGCGAGACUCCCCACCAACCAUUUCCUCCCCGAUGGCUGCUUUUUCGCUUUUGCCCUCCGCCCAUAUUGCGCCUAAACCCACGCUUCAUUUCAUCAAAGCCUCCACUUCCGAUCUCCCCAAAACCUCUCCAUCACCACCGUCGACGAAGCCUCAACUCCCAUCCCUCAAGCCCCAUCACAACAUCCGCGAAGAAGCUCGUCUCCACAACGCCGCCACCGUUACCACCAACCACCCUCGCUUCUCCGCUAAAUACGUUCCGUUCACCUCCAUCACCGAUCCUUCCUCCUCCGACGAAUCCUACUCUCUCGACGAGAUCGUUUACCGAUCUCAAUCUGGCUCCCUCCUCGACGUCCAGCACGACAUGUCCGCCCUCAAACACUUCGACGGCGCUUACUGGCGAAACCUCUUCGACUCACGUGUCGGAAAGACUACUUGGCCGUUCGGUUCCGGUGUCUGGUCGAAAAAAGAAUGGGUAUUACCUGAAAUCGACGAUGAUGAUAUCAUCUCUGCUUUUGAAGGUAACUCUAACCUCUUCUGGGCUGAAAGGUAUGGCAAAGACUUCUUAGGAAUGAAUGAUUUAUGGGUGAAACAUUGUGGGAUUAGCCAUACGGGUAGCUUUAAAGAUUUGGGCAUGACUGUUUUAGUUAGUCAAGUUAAUAGGUUGAGGAAAAUGAAUAAACCAGUAGUUGGAGUUGGCUGUGCUUCUACAGGGGAUACAUCAGCAGCAUUAUCUGCUUAUUGUGCAGCUGCUGGGAUUCCUUCUCUUGUAUUUUUACCGGCUAAUAGGAUUUCCAUGGCUCAGCUUGUUCAACCCAUUGCAAAUGGUGCAUUUGUUUUGAGUAUCGAUACUGAUUUCGAUGGAUGUAUGCAGUUGAUUAGAGAAGUAACGGCUGAAUUGCCGAUUUAUUUGGCGAACUCCCUGAAUAGUUUGCGGCUUGAAGGACAAAAAACGGCUGCUAUUGAGAUUUUACAGCAAUUUGAUUGGGAAGUUCCAGAUUGGGUCAUUGUUCCUGGUGGAAAUCUUGGAAAUAUUUAUGCUUUUUACAAAGGAUUUUCAAUGUGCAAAGAGUUGGGACUUGUUGAUAAGAUUCCUAGGUUGGUCUGCGCCCAAGCUGCGAAUGCGAAUCCGUUGUAUUUGUAUUUCAAGUCUGGUUGGAAAGACUUUCAGCCUGUGAAAGCGAAAACAACAUUUGCCUCUGCUAUCCAGAUUGGUGAUCCAGUUUCCAUUGAUAGAGCAGUAUAUGCCUUGAAGAAUUCGAAUGGGAUUGUUGAGGAAGCGACAGAGGAAGAGUUAAUGGAUGCCAUGGCACAAGCUGAUUCCACUGGGAUGUUUACUUGCCCACAUACAGGGGUGGCAUUGACUGCACUGAAUAAGCUUAGGAGAAGUGGGGUUAUUGGUCCUACUGAUAGGACAGUGGUGGUGAGUACAGCCCAUGGGUUGAAAUUUACACAGAGUAAGAUUGAUUAUCACUCUAAGAAUAUCAAGGACAUGGCUUGCAGAUUGGCAAACCCUCCUGUGCAAGUCACUGCAGAUUUCGGGUCGGUAAUGGAUGUUUUGAAGAAGUAUUUAUUAAGUAAAUCUCAUUAACUUGAUUGGCAAACCCGAAUUUCGGGUCGGUAAUGGAUGUUUUGAACAAGUAUUUAUCAAGUAAAGCUCAUUAAGCCGAUUAAUAUGAGCAUGAUUAGACUUGCUCAUGUUGUGCUUUUAUAUUGCUGUGUUUAGGCUUUAUUGUUGUUGUUAUUUCAAUGUAUUUUUGUUUUCAUUAGGGCCUUGUUAGGAUUGUAGCUUUGAGGAGAGAAAACAAUAACAUCGUAGCAAAGCUUACCGAUUUUGAAGGGAUCUCUACCAUUUGAAUUUAAUGGCAUUUUAAAUCUUUAUAUUGCUUGGUUUAGGCAUUUUGAUUUGUUUUAUUCCUUGGCCUAUUAACAUAGUCCGUUGAUUCCUCAAUUAUUGUUCUUCAGAAAAAGUUCAAACGACAUCCAAAAUCCAAACAAAGAAAGGACAUUAUAUGAUUGAUUGCCUUUUAUUUCACACCAAAAAAAAUCCCAAAUUUACAAUAAUAUCUAAUACAUGAAACAACAAAAAAUCACCUAUAACAAUUUGAAUAAAUACAUACAUUGUAAUCGUACUUAAUGAAAAAAUGACAGAAAAGAAAAAGAAUCCUGUGAUUUAACUUCUUCUGUGCAUGUAAGAGUGACAAUGAAUAACUCAAAUCAACAAAUUUUCAGGAAAAAAAAAAUACUAAAUGAGUCAUAGGGUUCUGCUUCUUACACAGUGCUUGGGCCUGGAUCAAGGCCGAGAUUAGACCUCCCUUUGACAGAGUUUAUCUUCUCCAGCUUCAAACCAGCCCUGAACCUUGCAAUGAAAUUAUCAGCUUUGGUAUUCACAUCUGGGCUUGGACAAAACAAUGGGCCUGCCGUCGAUUCUCCGCCGUCGACACCACCGGUUUUAUUUCCAUCCGCAGGGCUCGAUUCACCGCUUAAUGGAUCAUCCAAAUCAGGUGACCCACUCCUUGAACUGUUGAUGCUUUUUAAUCUGACGAAAUCACCAUGUACUUCGAACUUCCACGCCGGCAUUUUAAACGGUGGAGGGGGUGGCGGCGGAGGGAUUGUAUUGAACGGCGAUUCGUUACCACUUUCGACGUUCUCUUCGACAUUGUUGACGUUUCGUAUCUUGACUGGCAAAGGAGGUUUCUGGAUCGUCGUUACAGGUGGUUUAUUGGGUUCUCUUUUUGAUGCACGCGCUUCCAUUGACGGUGGCAGCGUUGGAGGUGGAGAGGUUGAAUGAUGCUUUCUGGCUUUGUUUUUCUUGGAAGAGAAGAUGUUAUAGAACGAUGGUAGUGGUGGAGGCGGCGGCGGCGGCGGCGGUGAUGGGGGUGGAUAUAAAGGAAGUGUUGCAAGGUUGAAGAAUUCAUCAAGGUUUUCCACGCUUCUUUGCCUUUGCUUCUUCUUUUUUCUUCUUAACGAAGUUAAGAAUUCUUUAGUCACUCCACCUCUCUUUUUCUCACUCUUCUUAAUUCUCUUUUCCGACCCAGAUAUUGGCGGAGGUGGAGGCGGUGGAGGAGGUGGAGGUGGUGAAGCUGGUGGCUUGGUUGGCGGCGGUGAUGAUGGUGAUGGAAGAGAAUACUUGUUUGUUACGUCACUGUACGCGACUUCCUUACGUUCACUUCUCUCCCUAUGUCGAACAUCUUCAUAAGGCCGCUUAGGUUUCCUUCUAACAGCCUUAGGAGGCUGCGGUGGAGGCGACUGAGGCGGCGUUGGACGCGAUGCUGCUGCUGCUGCUACAGGUGGUGGAACUGACACUAGCUGCGGAGACGUACGAUGAACAGUAUCAACAGCUAUAUCCUUUAAGUUUUUUAAGUAAACUUGUUCUUCAUCAUGCUCCCGCCUCGACCUACUCCGGUAAUUAUACAACCCAGUAUCAUCAUAAAACCUCCACCGAUCAUCGCCGUUCAUUGUCCAAGUAGAUUCCUGACGUAGAUCUGGAUAUGAACUGCUGCUUCUCAUCCUCCGCAGCGAGUUAUACGCCGUCCGAUCUGAUGACAACGCGUGAUCGUAACUCCAUUGACCUGGAGUUGAGCUUCGAACAUGAUGGUCAACAACAUGUCUUGGCGUCGAAGAAAACUUGUAAUCUUGGUAAGAAGAAGUUGGGGUCUCAUUGGCAUCAUUGUCGCCGUUGCUUUUGCUAAGAAAAGCACAGAUAAUGGCGAAAAGUACGAGGACUAGGUUGAGGGAAUCCCAUGAUUUUUUAACGAGUUGUGGCUUGAAUAUUUUGGAAGUGAAAGACAAGAAGGAAGGGAUGGUGAUGAAGAUAAAAGCGAAUGCGACGGCUAAUAAGAGGAUAAUAACAAUACCGGUAUUGAACAAGAGAUGGCGGCGGCGGAGGCGGCGGCUGUCGGUGGUUUGGAGCCAAAAUGGGGUCAUGUCUUCAUCGAAUUCCUCCAUUUUUUUUUUAAAUGUGAGAUAAGGGAAGUUUUGGCUAAACUCUUUUAAGCUUUUUGCUUUGUUGUUGCUUGCUUUGCUCGAUUUGCCUUUUG
rnacentral:lncRNA from 1 species